rnacentral:misc_RNA from 1 species
AAGUCGUAACAAGGUCUCCGUUGGUGAACCAGCGGAGGGAUCAUUAAAGAGUCUAAAAACUCCCAACCCAUGUGGACUUACCUAUUGUUGCCUCGGCAGGUCGCGCUUAGGGGUGCCCCCCGUCAAAAGGGGGUGGCCCGUGCGCGGUUCAGCCUGCCGCCGGCCCACCAAACUCUGUUUUCUACUGAAACUCUGAAUAAAAACAAAUAAGUUAAAA